UACAGAGGUCUCAAGCGUUGUUCGGAUUCAUUGGGCGUAAAGGGUGCGUAGGCGGCGCGAUAAGUCGGGUGUGAAAUCUUGGAGCUUAACUCCGAAACUGCAUUCGAUACUGCCGUGCUUGAGGACUGGAGAGGAGACUGGAAUUUACGGUGUAGCGGUGAAAUGCGUAGAUAUCGUAAGGAAGACCAGUGGCGAAGGCGGGUCUCUGGACAGUUCCUGACGCUGAGGCACGAAGGCUAGGGGAGCAAACAGG
rnacentral:rRNA from 1 species